rnacentral:rRNA from 1 species
UCUUGGACAAUGGGGGCAACCCUGAUCCAGCCAUGCCGCGUGAGCGGUGAAGGCCUUAGGGUUGUAAAGCUCUUUCAGCGGGGAAGAUAAUGACGGUACCCGCAGAAGAAGCCCCGGCUAACUCCGUGCCAGCAGCCGCGGUAAUACGGAGGGGGCUAGCGUUGUUCGGAAUUACUGGGCGUAAAGCGCACGUAGGCGGACCUACAAGUCGGGGGUGAAAUCCCGGGGCUCAACCCCGGAACUGCCUCCGAAACUGUCGGUCUGGAGGAUGAGAGAGGCGAGUGGAAUUCCGAGUGUAGAGGUGAAAUUCGUAGAUAUUCGGAGGAACACCAGUGGCGAAGGCGGCUCGCUGGCUCAUUUCUGACGCUGAGGUGCGAAAGCGUGGGGAGCAAACAGG